UGGGGAAUAUUGCACAAUGGGCGAAAGCCUGAUGCAGCAACGCCGCGUGAGUGAUGAAGGUCUUCGGAUUGUAAAGCUCUGUCUUUUGGGACGAUAAUGACGGUACCAAAGGAGGAAGCCACGGCUAACUACGUGCCAGCAGCCGCGGUAAUACGUAGGUGGCGAGCGUUGUCCGGAUUUACUGGGCGUAAAGGGUGCGUAGGCGGAUGUUUAAGUGAGAUGUGAAAUACCCGGGCUUAACUUGGGUGCUGCAUUUCAAACUGGAUAUCUAGAGUGCAGGAGAGGAGAAUGGAAUUCCUAGUGUAGCGGUGAAAUGCGUAGAGAUUAGGAAGAACACCAGUGGCGAAGGCGAUUCUCUGGACUGUAACUGACGCUGAGGCACGAAAAGCGUGGGUAGCAAACAGGAUUAGAUACCCUGGUAG
rnacentral:rRNA from 1 species